rfam:Triticum urartu cultivar G1812 contig999571, whole genome shotgun sequence.
CAUAUACUCCCUCCGUCCCGAAAUAAGUGACUCAAGUUUGUACUAAAGUUAGUACAAACUUGAGUCACUUAUUUUGGGACGGAGGGAGUAUAUC